ensembl:lncRNA
CUCCUCCUUCGUAGGGCAAUGCACGGCCAGUCCAAGCCGGGCUGCCUCCUCUUCAUCCUCAUCCUCAUCCUCUUCCUCCUCGUAGGGCAAUGCACGGCCAGUCUAAGCCGGGCUGCCUCCUCUUCAUCCUCCUCUGUCUCCUCUUCCUCCUUCCUAGGGCAAUGCAGGGCCAGUCCAAGCUGGGCUGCCUCCUCCUCUUCCUCCUCUUCCUCCUCCAUAGAGCACUGCAGGGCAAGUCUAAGCUGGGCUUCCUCCUCUUCAUCCUCCUCUUCCUCCUCUUCCUCCUCCAUAGAGCGCUGCAGGGCAAUCAGCAGCUGGGCUUCCUCCUCUUCCUCCUCUGCAGUGCAAUGCAGGGUCAGUCCAAGCUGGGCUUCCUCCUCCUCUUCCUCCUCUUCCUCCUCCAUAGAGCGCUGCAGGGCCAUCAGCAACUGUGCUUCCUCCUCCUCCUCUUCCUCUUCCUUUUUCUUAUCCAUCAUGGAGCGCUGCAGCGCCAUCGCCAGCCGUGCUUCCUCCUCCUCUUCUUCCUCCUCCUUCUCCCUCAUGGAUCGCUGCAGCGCCAUCGCCAGCUGCACUUCCUUCUCCUCUUCCUCCUCUUCCUCCUUCAUAGAGCGCUGCAGCGCCAUCGCCAGCUGUGCUUCCUCCUCCUCUUCCUCUUCCUUUUUCUUCUCCCUUAUGGAUCUCUGCAGUGCCAUCGCCAGCCGUGCUUCCUCCUCCUCUUCUUCCUCCUCCUUCUCCCUUAUGGAUCGCUGCAGCGCCAUCGCCAGCUGCACUUCCUUCUCCUCUUCCUCCUCUUCCUCCUUCAUAGAGCGCUGCAGCGCCAUCGCCAGCUGUGCUUCCUCCUCCUCCUCUUCCUCUUCCUUUUUCUUAUCCCUCAUGGAGCGCUGCAGUGCCAUCGCCAGCCGUGCUUCCUCCUCCUCUUCUUCCUCCUCCUUCUCCCUCAUGGAUCGCUGCAGCGCCAUCGCCAGCUGCACUUCCUUCUCCUCUUCCUCCUCUUCCUCCUUCAUAGAGCGCUGCAGUGCCAUCGCCAGCUGUGCUUCCUCCUCCUCCUCUUCCUCUUCCUUUUUCUUAUCCAUCAUGGAGCGCUGCAGUGCCAUCGCCAGCCGUGCUUCCUCCUCCUCUUCCUCCUCCUCCUCUUCCUCCUUCAUAGAGCGCUGCAGUGCCAUCGCCAGCCGUACUUCCUCCUCCUCUUCCUCCUUCUCCUUCUCCUUUAUGGAUCUCUGCAGUGUCAUCACCAGCCGUACUUCCUCUUCCUCUUCCUCCUUCUCCUUCUCCCUUAUGGAUCGCUGCAGUGUCAUCGCCAGCUGUGCUUCCUCCUCCUCUUCCUCCUCCUCCUCUUCCGCCUUCAUAGAGCGCUGCAGUGCCAUUGCCAGCCGUACUUCCUCCUCCUCUUCCUCCUUCUCCUUCUCCCUUAUGGAUCUCUGCAGUGCCAUCGCCAGCUGUGCUUCCUCCUCCUCUUCCUCCUUCUCCUUCUCCCUUAUGGAUCUCUGCAGUGCCAUCGCCAGCUGUGCUUCCUCCUCUUCUUCCUCCUCCUCCUCUUCCGCCUUCAUAGAGCGCUGCAGUGCCAUCGCCAGCUGUGCUUCCUCCUCCUCUUCCUCCUUCUCCUUCUCCCUUAUGGAUCUCUGCAGUGCCAUCGCCAGCUGUGCUUCCUCCUCCUCCUCCUCCUCCUCCUCCUCCUCUGCAGUGCCGGUGCCGCGGUGUGGCACCGUGGAUCCGCCGUCACGCAGAGCUGUUGGCAGCGCUGCCGCCUCCUCUGUGGGGCAGAGGGGCAGAUGGGGGGCGGGCGGUGGGACCUCAACGUGGGGAGACCCCCCCCCCAAAACCUCCCCCCCCGCAGCCCCAUUUGAGGAUCCCUAACCCCAAUUGGGGACCCCCAACCUCAUCUGGAACCCCUCAGCCCCAUUUACUUUGGGGACACCCACCCCUAUAUGGGGACCCCCAAAC